UACGGGGGGGGCAAGCGUUGUUCGGAAUUACUGGGCGUAAAGGGCUCGUAGGCGGCCAACUAAGUCAGACGUGAAAUCCCUAGGCUCAACCUAGGAACUGCGUCUGAUACUGGAUGGCUUGAAUCCGGGAGAGGGAUGCAGAAUUCCAGGUGUAGCGGUGAAAUGCGUAGAUAUCUGGAGGAAUACCGGUGGCGAAGGCGGCAUCCUGGACCUAAACUGACGCUGAGGGGCGAAAGCGUGGGGAGCGAACGGG
rnacentral:rRNA from 1 species